GAAGGCCAAACAUGCAUAAAAACAAAGGGCAAGCCUAGAACUUGGAUUAUUAGCCACUUUUUCUCUUGAAUGUCUUCACGAAACUUCAAGCUUAUGGCCUUGUAAACAUAUCCAUAGGUGUAGUUGUUUGAGAGAAGCUUUUUACGUUGAGUUUUCUGCCUCCUUGUCAUUUGAACGACUUGCUGCCCAAGGGAGUUUAAUGGUGUUUCGUCCAUUAUUGAAGGUUAGAAAGUGUUGAGGAGGUGUGAAGGAGACUAAAUAAGGUUGCCUCCCACGGAUGUGAUCCUUGAAGAUUGAGCUUGGUGGAUUGUCUUUGGUCCUUGACCAAAAGGAUUUGGGCAUUUCUGAGUGGACGAAGUUACGGUAAAACUUGCAUUGGAGCUACCUAGCUUGGGAGCUUCAAUAAGAGCAUACGAUUGGUUGCAGCAAAGUGAAGCAAGCACUGGAGCUCUUCCAAAGCAAAAAAACUCUAAGGCAACUUAAUACCAAGGAGUAAUGGGUACCUUGCUGGAUUAUGAUGUUACUAAUGAAGAUCUUUCAAUAAUACUCUUAUUUCCCUUGUCUUGAUGGUGGUUUAAAGAUUUUUAGAUAUAUGACAUUCUCUUGUAGACUUUAUUUCAACUUUCAGUAAUUGUAUUUUUCUUAUUUUCUCCAUUUCUUUGACUCUA